rnacentral:rRNA from 1 species
UACGUAGGCAGCGAGCGUUGUUCGGAGUUACUGGGCGUAAAGGGUGUGUAGGCGGUUGUUUAAGUUUGGUGUGAAAUCUCCCGGCUCAACUGGGAGGGUGCGCCGAAUACUGAAUGACUUCGAGUGCGGGAGAGGAAAGUGGAAUUCCUGGUGUAGCGGUGAAAUGCGCAGAUAUCAGGAAGAACACCUAUGGCGAAGGCAGCACUCUGGGACGGUACUGACGCUGAGACGCGAAAGCGUGGGGAGCGAACAGG